rnacentral:rRNA from 1 species
GCAGUAGCCACGGGAAUACAGAGGGUGCGAGCGUUAAUCGGAUUUACUGGGCGUAAAGCGUGCGUAGGCGGCUUCUUAAGUCGGAUGUGAAAUCCCUGAGCUUAACUUAGGAAUUGCAUUCGAUACUGGGAAGCUAGAGUAUGGGAGAGGAUGGUAGAAUUCCAGGUGUAGCGGUGAAAUGCGUAGAGAUCUGGAGGAAUACCGAUGGCGAAGGCAGCCAUCUGGCCUAACACUGACGCUGAGGUACGAAAGCAUGGGGAGCAAACAGGAUUAGAUACCCCAGUAGUCCCUGUCUCUUAUAC